AUUGAACGCUGGCGGCAGGCCUAACACAUGCAAGUCGAACGAGUGGCGGACGGGUGAGUAAUGACUGGGAAACUGCCUGAUGGAGGGGGAUAACUACUGGAAACGGUAGCUAAUACCGCAUACCAUGAAAUGUGCCCAGAUGGGAUUAGCGAGUUGGUGGGGUAACGGCUCACCAAGGCCACGAUCCCUAGCUGGUCUGAGAGGAUGACCAGCCACACUGGAACUGAAACACGGUCAAUGCUCCUACGGUAGGCAGCAGUCGGGAAUAUUGCGCAAUGGGCGCAAGCCUGAUGCAGCCAUGCAGCGUGUAUGACGAAGGCCUUCGGGUUGUAAAGUACUUUCAGCGGGGAGGCGUUACCCGCAGAAGAAGCACCGGCUAACUCCGUGCCAGCAGCCGCGGUAAUUC
rnacentral:rRNA from 1 species